UGUAUAUGUAAUCUUCUGCUCACUCAAAAUUAGGUUCAGAUCUGGACUUUUCACCUUGCUUUUUUUAAUGCAAAGGGUUUAUUGCAGCUUUUUCACAACAGGAUUUAAUUCUUAUUUGGAGAAAUUGUUCAGAUCAGACCAUUGUGAAAAAUAUUACAAAAUGUUUAGAAAAUAAAUUUAAGCAAAACUCAUUAUCAAGUGAGAAAGACUAAAAUUUUGAGCAUCUGUUUCAUAUAUCUGCAAACAUUUUCCAAGUUGUCAGCAUAAAUAAAAUGAAAUAAAAACUUAACAUUUCUAUUAAUGAUUAAUUUUAUAUAUUUUAAUCUGGUAGCAAUGAUCUUUUUAACCUUUUUAUUGCUCUAUUGCAGCGACGUCAAACUCCAGUCCUCAAGGGCAGGUGUACUGCAGCGUAUAGAUGUGCCUCUCCUGCGCCACACCUGAAUAAAAUAAUUAGUUCAUUAAGGCUCUGUAGAACUUAUCUACACAAGGAGGAGGUCAUUAAACCAUUUCAUUCCAGGGUUCUGUACAUGUGGCACAUCUAUACGCUGCAGGACAUGGAGGACUGGAGUUUGACACUUGUGCUCUUGGCACCUUUGCCAAUAAAGAUUGGUGAAUUGAAGUAGGCAUUUUACACAUCCACUAAAGAAAAUAGUUCCAAAGAACAUUUGAAUAAGGAGGACGACCGUAUUUAUUUAUUUUUGUUUGAGCACGUUUUUGAGUGUUACAUCGGUUUUACAUUUGUUAAACCGAUGUAACACUCAAAAUUAAUCUUGUGUUUCUUGGAAAACGUAAAAUUAACUGCGGAUGGAUAUGCGGUUUCACACUCCAACGUAUUCUCCUCAUCAGUCCGUUUGCGCGGAAUCUGCAGGUUGACUGUCCUACGAAACAAUCUACUUCAAGAGCAUCAACCUGUGAAGAUCGCCUUUGACGAUUUGAAAAAGGUUGCCAUGGUUACAGAAAUUGGAGGAGUGUCCAGCUGUGCGAGUCCUCAUGCCCCAUGAAUUGGCGGUCCAGUUCAGCCUUUUUGGACGACAUUGGAAACACAAGCUCCGUGACCCGCAUCUCUUUGAAGUUGUGUAUGGGACACUUAAAAGAAAUGGAUCCAUCUACAGAAUCACACAAAGAUAUGGAAAAGGCACUCUCAAAGUGGUUUACUGGAGCCUGUGACUGGUGGAAAUAGGAAAGUUAGAACAACUAGGGAGGCUGUCAGUUCAAACUCAGGUGGGCAGAUCUUUCAAGAUGGACAGUUUCAAUAAUGUAUGAGAGCUUUCUAAGUUUAAGCAUGCAUGUGACAUGAAGGUUAUUCUUAAAAAUGUUUGACAAAACGGUAUUGUGAAAGAUCUAUAUAGCUCUGGGUACGUAUAUACAUAUAUAUCUACAGUACAGACCAAAAGUUUGGACUCACAGUUGUGUCCAAACUUUUGGUCUGCACUGUAUGUUAUAUAGAUGGUAUUUAGAUUUAUACAUUAAUAUAGAUCUUUACAGAUAUAUGUAGGUGUCUUUAUAUGUGUGCAGCUAUAGAUAUAUGUUCAUUAAUCUAUAUUUAUAGAUGUGUUUAUAUGUUUGUUAUAGUAAACUAGUUUCUGUUUUCAAAAUGCCAUGUGAAUAAUAGUUUUUUUGUUUUUGUUUUUUUUAACAGCUCAUUUUUUGUUGUGGCACCAUUUGCUGAGUGUUAAUGAAGUUCUAAUAAUUGCUGUAGUGAGGUAAAAAAUAACUUCUGACAAUAUUUCAAAUUACAAAAUAAAACGCCUUGACCAAAAUAAAUUUUUCAUCUCUUUUUUUUUUUCUAUUGCAAGUUUUAUGCUAACACAUUUUAGGACCUUUGUUUUGUUGAUCAAGAUUGCAUAUCUAAGAAUGUAAUUCACUUCCAGGUUAGGUGAGAAAGACCCCAUUGUUCCUACAAGGAUAAGGCAUCUGGGUCCCACUGAAAACCCAGUUAAAGCCCAUUAAAAUAUACCUGGGCAAACCCAUGUGGGGCCACCAUGGAGACCUUGGGUAAACCCACUUGUUACCCAUAUUCUAGCCCAGAUCAGACCCAAUUGGGACCUAGGUAAAUAUUCCUCAAGGCACCUUCGUGGGUCAUACAUGGGUCUCAUGUAAGAUAACCAUCUGGGCCCCACUGAAAACCCAGUCAGAGCCCACUGAAAUCUACCUGGGCAAACCCAUGUGGGGCCACCGUGGAAACCUUGGACAAACCCACUUGUUACCCAUAUUCUAGCCCAGAUCAGACCCAAUUGGGACCUAGGUAAAUAUUCCUCAAGGCACCUUCGUGGGCCUCAUGUAAGAUAACCAUCUGGGUCCCACUGAAGACCCAGUCAGAGCCCAUUAAAAUCUACCUGGGCAAACCCAUGUGGGGCCACCAUGGAAACCGUGGACAAACCCACUUGUUACCCAUAUUCUAGCCCAGUUCAGACCCAAUUGGGACCCACAUAAAUAUACCUGAAAGCACCCAAGUGGGCCACAGGUGGGCCUCAUGUAAGAUAACCAUCUGGGCCCCACUAAAGACCCAGUCAGAGCCCAUUAAAAUCUACCUGGGCAAACCCAUGUGGGGCCACCAUGGAAACCGUGGACAAACCCACUUGUUACCCAUAUUCUAGCCCAGUUCAGACCCAAUUGGGACCCACAUAAAUAUACCUGAAAGCACCCAAGUGGGCCACAGGUGGGCCUCAUGUAAGAUAACCAUCUGGGCCCCACUAAAGACCCAGUCAGAGCCCAUUAAAAUCUACCUGGGCAAACCCAUGUGGGGCCACCAUGGAAACCGUGGACAAACCCACUUGUUACCCAUAUUCUAGCCCAGUUCAGACCCACUUGGGACCCAGAUAAAUAUACCUGAACGCACCCUAGUGGGCCACAGAUGGGCCUCAUGUAAGUUAACCAUCUGGGCCCCACUGAAGACCCAGUCAGAGCCCAUUAAAAUCUACCUGGGCAAACCCAUGUGGGGCCACCAUGGAACCCGUGGACAAACCCUUUUGGGACCCAUAUUGACAGCCCUCUUUUAACCCAUAUGGGGCCCACCUAGGUAUGCUGGC